UACGUAGGGGGCUAGCGUUGUCCGGAAUCAUUGGGCGUAAAGCGCGCGUAGGCGGCCAGAUAAGUCCGGUGUGAAAGUACACGAGGCCUCGAACCUGUGAAUGCCGCUGGAAACUGUCUGGCUCGAGUCCGGGGAGGGGCGAGUGGAAUUCCUGGUGUAGCGGUGAAAUGCUUAGAUAUCGUCAAGAACACCUAGUAGCGAAGGCAGCUUACUAGGCUGUAACUGACGCUGAGGCACGAAAGUGUGGGGAGUCAAACAGG
rnacentral:rRNA from 1 species